GACAGAGGGUGCAAACGUUGUUCGGAAUUACUGGGCGUAAAGCGCGUGUAGGCGGCUAAGUAAGUCGGGCGUGAAAUCCCACGGCUCAACCGUGGAAGUGCACUCGAAACUGCAUAGCUAGAGUCCUGGAGAGGAAGGUGGAAUGCUUGGUGUAGAGGUGAAAUUCGUAGAUAUCAAGCGGAACACCGGUGGCGAAGGCGGCCAUCUGGACAGAUACUGACGCUGAGACGCGAAAGCGUGGGGAGCAAACAGG
rnacentral:rRNA from 1 species